rnacentral:snRNA from 1 species
AUCGUAAAGUUUUGUUUGACUUU